ACGUAGGUGGCAAGCGUUAUCCGGAUUUAUUGGGCGUAAAGAGUGAGCAGGCGGUUUUCACAGUUCGAAGUCAAAUCCAGUUGCUUAACAACUGUUCGCUUUGAAUACUAGAAAGCUAGAGUGCAGGAGAGGUUAGCGGAAUUCCAUGUGUAGCGGUGAAAUGCGUAGAUAUAUGGAGGAACACCAGUGGCGAAGGCGGCUAACUGGCCUGUAACUGACGCUCAGUCACGAAAGCGUGGGGAGCAAAUAG
rnacentral:rRNA from 1 species